rnacentral:rRNA from 1 species
UGGGGAGGAAAAAAAAAGUAACAAGGUUUCCGUAGGUGAACCUGCGGAAGGAUCAUUACAGUAUUCUUUUGCCAGCGCUUAACUGCGCGGCGAAAAACCUUACACACAGUGUCUUUUUGAUACAGAACUCUUGCUUUGGUUUGGCCUAGAGAUAGGUUGGGCCAGAGGUUUAACAAAACACAAUUUAAUUAUUUUUACAGUUAGUCAAAUUUUGAAUUAAUCUUCAAAACUUUCAACAACGGAUCUCUUGGUUCUCGCAUCGAUGAAGAACGCAGCGAAAUGCGAUAAGUAAUAUGAAUUGCAGAUUUUCGUGAAUCAUCGAAUCUUUGAACGCACAUUGCGCCCUCUGGUAUUCCAGAGGGCAUGCCUGUUUGAGCGUCAUUUCUCUCUCAAACCCCCGGGUUUGGUAUUGAGUGAUACUCUUAGUCGGACUAGGCGUUUGCUUGAAAAGUAUUGGCAUGGGUAGUACUAGAUAGUGCUGUCGACCUCUCAAUGUAUUAGGUUUAUCCAACUCGUUGAAUGGUGUGGCGGGAUAUUUCUGGUAUUGUUGGCCCGGCCUUACAACAACCAAACAAGUUGACCUCAAAUCAGGUAGAAUGCCCAAUUUUA